GUGGGGGAUAUUGCACAAUGGAGGAAACUCUGAUGCAGCGACGCCGCGUGAGUGAAGAAGUAUUUCGGUAUGUAAAGCUCUAUCAGCAGGGAAGAUAAUGACAGUACCUGACUAAGAAGCCCCGGCUAACUACGUGCCAGCAGCCGCGGUAAUACGUAGGGGGCAAGCGGUAUCCGGAUUUACUGGGUGUAAAGGGAGCGUAGACGGAAUGGCAAGUCUGAAGUGAAAGCCUGCGGCUUAACUGCAGAAUUGCUUUGGAAACUGUCAAUCUGGAGUGUUGGAGAGGUAAGCGGAAUUCCGGGUGUAGCGGUGAAAUGCGUAGAUAUCAGGAAGAACACCGGAGGCGAAGGCGGCUUACUGGACAAUAACUGACGUUGAGGCUCGAAAGCGUGGGAAGCAAACAGGAUUAGAUACCCUAGUAGUCC
rnacentral:rRNA from 1 species